UACGUAGGGUGCAAGCGUUAAUCGGAAUUACUGGGCGUAAAGCGUGCGCAGGCGGUUUUGUAAGUCUGUCGUGAAAUCCCCGGGCUUAACCUGGGAAUUGCGAUGGAGACUGCAAGGCUGGAGUCUGGCAGAGGGGGGUAGAAUUCCACGUGUGAGCAGUGAAAUGCGUAGAGAUGUGGAGGAACACCGAUGGCGAAGGCAGCCCCCUGGGUCAAGAUUGACGCUCAUGCACGAAAGCGUGGGGAGCAAACAGG
rnacentral:rRNA from 1 species